rnacentral:rRNA from 1 species
UCCAGACUCCUACGGGAGGCAGCAGUGGGGGAUAUUGCACAAUGGGGGAAACCCUGAUGCAGCGACGCCGCGUGAGUGAAGAAGUAUUUCGGUAUGUAAAGCUCUAUCAGCAGGGAAGAAAAAAGACGGUACCUGACUAAGAAGCCCCGGCUAACUACGUGCCAGCAGCCGCGGUAAUACGUAGGGGGCAAGCGUUAUCCGGAUUUACUGGGUGUAAAGGGAGCGUAGACGGCAAUACAAGUCGGAAGUGAAAUACCCGGGCUCAACCUGGGAACUGCUUUGGAAACUGUAUGGCUGGAGUGCUGGAGAGGUAAGCGGAAUUCCUAGUGUAGCGGUGAAAUGCGUAGAUAUUAGGAGGAACACCAGUGGCGAAGGCGGCUUACUGGACAGUAACUGACGUUGAGGCUCGAAAGCGUGGGGAGCAAACAGGAUUAGAUACCCCUGUAGUG